UCAUGCUGCUUCCUAUUGUGUCCCUGCUUCAAAAUGGAUGUGUAUGGCAUGCACAAUGUCUGUGAUCUGGGAAUUGGAUUUGGCUUUCAAUUUGACAUUCCAGCAAUUUUACGUUAUGGGACCUUGGUGCGGGAGCUCCACCUGACCGGAACUGGAAAGGAAUUGCUAUUGCUCUGCUGGUUAUAUUGGGGGUCUGCUCUCUUAUCACCAUGUCUGUCAUCCUCCUCACUCCAGCGGACAGCCAAGCUGGCAGUGAUACCAAACUCACAGUGGAAGAUCUGUUCAAGCCUGAGUUUGUUGCCCACGACCCGGAGGCCAAAUGGAU